rnacentral:rRNA from 1 species
UCGAUUGAGUUUGAUCAUGGCUCAGAUUGAACGCUGGCGGCAUGCCUUACACAUGCAAGUCGAACGGCAGCACGGGGGCAACCCUGGUGGCGAGUGGCGAACGGGUGAGUAAUGCAUCGGAACGUGCCCAGUAGUGGGGGAUAACUAGUCGAAAGAUUAGCUAAUACCGCAUACGACCUAUGGGUGAAAGCGGGGGAUUCGCAAGAGCCUCGCGCUAUCGGAGCGGCCGAUGUCUGAUUAGCUAGUUGGCGGGGUAAAAGCCCACCAAGGCUUCGAUCAGUAGCUGGUCUGAGAGGACGACCAGCCACACUGGGACUGAGACACGGCCCAGACUCCUACGGGAGGCAGCAGUGGGGAAUUUUGGACAAUGGGCGCAAGCCUGAUCCAGCCAUGCCGCGUGCGGGAAGAAGGCCUUCGGGUUGUAAACCGCUUUUGGCAGGAACGAAACGGCGCGAGCGAAUAUCUCGCGUUAAUGACGGUACCUGCAGAAUAAGCACCGGCUAACUACGUGCCAGCAGCCGCGGUAAUACGUAGGGUGCAAGCGUUAAUCGGAAUUACUGGGCGUAAAGCGUACGCAGGCGGCUUUGCAAGACAGGUGUGAAAUCCCCGGGCCUAACCUGGGAACUGCAUUUGUGACUGCAUGGCUAGAGUUUGUCAGAGGGGGGUGGAAUUCCACGUGUAGCAGUGAAAUGCG